ACGGCCCACUUGUUCAAGGAAUUGGCCCUAUAUGUAUUUGUACGUAACCCCUCACAUCAUACGCAACCAAAAAUAUCAAACCCUAUUCUCCUUACUUGCGGACGGCAGACGAUACACCCCCCUCGUAAUAGCAUCUCGUUUGGUCGAAGUUUGGACGUAUCUAACCAACUCUUAAACAAGUAACAUAACCUACCGAGCACUCUAAGGUCCUUAGGUACUUUGAAAGCAGGAACUUGCUGGCUGGAGGGCGCGAGUGGUCAUGGUUGCUCGAGGGAUAUAUUAUCAGACUUUUAAUUACUAUGUUUGUUUGGAUAACGUUUAUAUUACGCUACAUUAACGCUUCCGCUAAACGUAUGGUUUUGAAUAACGUAUGUUGGGAUUUUAGUAUCUUUAAAUAACGAAGUUUUAUUUCAAACUUGUG